UACGGAGGGUGCAAGCGUUAUCCGGAUUCACUGGGUUUAAAGGGUGCGUAGGAGGGCAGGUAAGUCAGUGGUGAAAUCUCCGAGCUUAACUUGGAAACUGCCGUUGAUACUAUCUGUCUUGAAUAUUGUGGAGGUGAGCGGAAUAUGUCAUGUAGCGGUGAAAUGCUUAGAUAUGGCAUAGAACACCAAUUGCGUAGGCAGCUUACUACACGAUCAUUGACGCUGAGGCACGAAAGCCAGGGGAGCGAACGGG
rnacentral:rRNA from 1 species